UAGUAUUGUGAGAAAACGCUCAAAAAGAGAGGAAAGUCCGAACCUUAAAAAACCAAGAAGCGGUUAAGAGCCGCCCAUACAUUAUGUAUGAGGGAAAGUGUCACAGAAAAUAAACAGCUGUUAAAGCAAUGGUGAAAAGGUGGAGUAAGAGCCCACCGCUUUCUUCAUAAGGAGAAAGGCAUGACAAACCCUUCUUAAGGCAAGGUCAAGUAGGUAUUGAUAUUACUGGUUUUGUAAUUAAGUACGGGUAGACCGCAAAGAAUUUAUCGGUAACGAUAAAUCAAGAUAGAUGUUUUCAGAUCGAUAGAUCACAGAAUUCGGCUUAUGAUCAAUGCUACUGU
rnacentral:RNase_P_RNA from 1 species